CCGAAUGGGGGAACCCAGCAUCUUUAAUAGGAUGUUACGAUUGUGUGAAUACAUAGCACAUUCGAGGUAGACGCAGAGAACUGAAACAUCUAAGUACCUGUAGGAAGAGAAAGAAAAUUCGAUUCCCCGAGUAGCGGCGAGCGAAACGGGAAAAGCCCAAACCAACAAGCUUGCUUGUUGGGGUUGUAGGACUCCAAUAUGGUCGUUCUUUCAGAUAGUCGAAUGACUUGGAAAAGUCAGUCAAAGAGGGUAAAA
rnacentral:rRNA from 1 species